AAGUCGUAACAAGGUUUCCGUAGGUGAACCUGCGGAAGGAUCAUUAAUAAAUAAUCCAAUUCAUGGAUUUUUAUAAAUCCAUCCACCUUUUGUGCACUGUAACUUUGUCCAUUGCUUUAUUUUUUCCCUUCUUUGGAAUUUUAGUGCAUUAGUCUUAUUAAUUUAAGAUGAAGCCUUUAAGACUUAAAAGGAGGGGAAAGGGAGCAAUAUUAAACACUUAUAAUUUGUCUUUUUGUUGUCUGAAGUAUUAAAACUUUUUUUGCGAAAGCAGAAAAUUUUAUUUUACUAAAAAAAAACAACUUUCAACAACGGAUCUCUUGGCUCCC
rnacentral:misc_RNA from 1 species